UACGUAGGGUGCGAGCGUUAAUCGGAAUUACUGGGCGUAAAGCGUGCGCAGGCGGUUUUGUAAGCCAGAUGUGAAAUCCCCGGGCUUAACCUGGGAAUGGCAUUUGGGACUGCACGGCUAGAGUGUGUCAGAGGGGGGUAGAAUUCCACGUGUAGCAGUGAAAUGCGUAGAUAUGUGGAGGAAUACCGAUGGCGAAGGCAGCCCCCUGGGAUAACACUGACGCUCAUGCACGAAAGCGCGGGGAGCAAACAGG
rnacentral:rRNA from 1 species